AGUGGCAGACGGGUGAGUAAUGUAUAGGAAUCUACCUAGUAGUACGGAAUAAUUGUUGGAAACGGCAACUAAUACCGUAUACGCCCUACGGGGGAAAAAUUUAUUGCUAUUAGAUGAGCCUAUAUUAGAUUAGUUAGUUGGUGAGGUAAAGGCUUACCAAGACAAUGAUCUAUAGCUGAUCUGAGAGGAUGAUCAGCCACACUGGAACUGAGAUACGGUCCAGACUCCUACGGGAGGCAGCAGUGGGGAAUAUUGGACAAUGGGCGAAAGCCUGAUCCAGCCAUGCCGCAUGAGUGAAGAAGGCCUUCGGGUUGUAAAGCUCUUUUAGUGAGGAAGAUAAUGACGGUACUCACAGAAGAAGUCCUGGCUAACUCUGUGCCAGCAGCCGCGGUAAUACGGAGAGGGCUAGCGUUAUUCGGAAUCAUUGGGCGUAAAGGGCGCGUAGGCGGGUUAAUAAGUUAAAAGUGAAAUCCCAAGGCUCAACCUUGGAACUGCUUUUAAAACUGCUAGUCUAGAGAUUGAAAGAGGAUAGAGGAAUUCCUAGUGUAGAGGUGAAAUUCGUAAAUAUUAGGAGGAACACCAGUGGCG
rnacentral:rRNA from 1 species